rnacentral:rRNA from 1 species
UACGUAGGGUGCAAGCGUUAAUCGGAAUUACUGGGCGUAAAGCGUGCGCAGGCGGUUUUGUAAGUCAGAUGUGAAAUCCCCGGGCUUAACCUGGGAACUGCGUUUGAAACUGGAAGGCUUGAGUGUGGCAGAGGGGGGUGGAAUUCCACGUGUAGCAGUGAAAUGCGUAGAGAUGCGGAGGAACACCGAUGGCGAAGGCAGCCCCCUGGGCUGACACUGACGCUGAGGCACGAAAGCGUGGGGAGCAAACAGG